CCUGUGUGUGAUUUUCUUUGGGCUUGCCAGUUGUGGGGUACUGGACGGGACAGAAACCCCAACAAGCCGGCCCCCUCAUGUUACAAGACAAGGCACCCUUGACUCACCUGUUCUAUUGCAACCCCAUAAAGGAACAUUAGUGGAGAUCAGAUUUUGAUGGACAAUGCUAUUGUUUUGAAAUAGCUCUAUUAAAGAAAUAGAAAUGUAAGUAAAUGGCUACCUUAGUGCUGACUUACUGUAGUAAGUGAUCUUCUAAACAACGAUUCUUUCUUAUUUGGGCAAUUUUCUUUUCCUUUUCUUUUCUUAAUUUUUUUUUACUGUAAAAGAGUAGAAUAUAAUGUUCUUAACUUGUUACUUUAGACAUUUACUUAACAAAUAUUAAUUGAUCAAUUAGAAGAUGCUGAGCAGUGAAAAACAGAGAAGGUAGAAAGUCCUGCACAUGGAGUUUGGGUAUUGUUUAGGAAAUGCAUAUGUCAAUAGAUAUUUAAAACUGUGUAGUCAGAUCUCUGAAAGCAAGGUGUUACUUCAUUUACCAGGAGGCCUUGGGCUCACAAAGGAAAGGAUAACACACGGAACAAUAGAUGGUGUGAAAUCAGGGCUCACCUGCAGGGAACACAUAGAGAGCCAGUUCAGUUCCGGCCUGUCUGCAACAUAUUGGCAGAGAGGCAAUUGGAGUUACACGGCAUUAAUUAAGACACACUAAAGAGGUCUUAAUCCUGAAAUCAGUGUGGAAUAAUUGGAGGAAUUCAACAUCCUCAUAAUUGAGUUUUAGAAAUGUUUCUCCAGCAUAGACAGUGUAGAAAAACAUGCUGGAAUUGGGAGAGUCAGAAAACAGCAAUGGAACUUACAAGAAAGAACAAUGUAAGUUCUGAACAAAAAUAACUACGGUAGGCAUGGAGAAUUAUGAGAAUGGAUUAAACUAUAGCAAACUAAUUGUAAUUUUCUUUUUAUUAUCACAAUUCCAAAGAAAAUUUUAUCUUUUAGCUGUAAUGCCCUUUUCCUAAAAUGGCUCUUGUCAUUUAUAUCACCAUGAUCAAAACUUAUCCAACAUCAUCAAGCAGAAAAACAAUUCUUGUUUGCUCUGGUUAUUAAUCUCAUCCCAUUUGCUCUUGCCAAAUUCAUCAGUUAUGCUUCUGACAGAAAAUAUAGAAAUUAAAAAAAAAUUCGAUAUGUAUCUUUACUGAAUUCUACAAGGCACCAGAGAUGCAAUGCUACAAAAGUAUAAGCAUUACUAACUCCCUAAUAUUGUCUGAGAGAUUCAAACUGGAUUUGACAUUUAUGCCUAAAAAUAAUAAAUAAAAAUAGAAGCAUAAGGUGUUAAGGACAAUAAUGACCUUGUGAACAAAGUUCUAGGUACUGCAUGCAAUUAUUGCAACUUUUAAUGUAAUUUCAGAAAUCAAGGAGACAACUACACAACAUGGAUGAAUGCUGACAAGCAUUGGGGGGGAUAUGUUGGGGUCUAGGAAAUCAACCUUGCUUCUUAUCUCCUAGCAGAGACCUGCAGGAACCAGGCUCCGGAACUCAUUAGCAUUUUCCUUUGUUUGUCAGCAAUCACAGACCCUCAGUAUUUACCUAUCAGCUGGAAAUGUCUCCGGACCUGAAUUCCAGCAGACCUGAGUUUCCUGACACCCUUCUCUUACCCCUGACACCUUUCCCUUCCUCCCCCCACCCCUUUGCCCAUUUGCUAUAUAACAGCUUCUGAGGAAAUAAUAAACUAUACGGCUUGAUCAGAAA